rnacentral:rRNA from 1 species
GACGAACGCUGGCGGCGUGCCUAAUACAUGCAAGUCGAGCGCAGGAAACUGACGGAACUCUUCGGAGGGAAGGCAGUGGAAUGAGCGGCGGACGGGUGAGUAACACGUAAGGAACCUGCCUCAAGGAUUGGGAUAACUCCGAGAAAUCGGAGCUAAUACCGGAUAGUUCAACGGACCGCAUGGUCCGUUGAUGAAAGGCGCUCCGGCGUCACCUUGAGAUGGCCUUGCGGUGCAUUAGCUAGUUGGUGGGGUAAAGGCUCACCAAGGCGACGAUGCACAGCCGACCUGAGAGGGUGAUCGGCAACACUGGGACGGAGACACGGCCCAGAAUCCUACGGGAGGCAGCAGUAGGGAAUCUUCCACAAUGGACGAAAGUCUGAUGGAGCAACGCCGCGUGAGUGAUGAAGGUUUUCGGAUCGUAAAACUCUGUUGUAAGGGAAGAACACGUACGAGAGGAAAUGCUCGUACCUUGACGGUACCUUACGAGAAAGCCACGGCUAACUACGUGCCAGCCGCCGCCGUAA